GACGAACGCUGGCGGCGUGCUUAACACAUGCAAGUCGAACGGAGUUACGUAUGAAGUAUUUCGGUACGGACUAUGUAACUUAGUGGCGAACGGGUGAGUAACACGUGGGCAACCUGCCCUUAACCGGGGGAUAACAUUGUGAAACAGUGCUAAUACCGCAUAACAGAGUAUCGGGCAUCCGAUAUUUUAAAGGAGCAAUCCGGUUUAGGAUGGGCCCGCGUCCAAUUAGCUAGUUGGUGAGGUAACGGCUCACCAAGGCUACGAUUGGUAGCCGAACUGAGAGGUUGAUCGGCCACAUUGGGACUGAGACACGGCCCAGACUCCUACGGGAGGCAGCAGUGGGGAAUAUUGGGCAAUGGGCGAAAGCCUGACCCAGCGACGCCGCGUGAAGGAUGAAGGUCUUCGGAUUGUAAACUUCUUUGAUCAGGGAAGAAAGAAAUGACGGUACCUGAAGAACAAGCCACGGCUAACUACGUGCCAGCAGCCGCGGUAAAACGUAGCGU
rnacentral:rRNA from 1 species